UAUAUAUACGUAUUCGCGUUGAUAACCUUUUGAGUAAUAAAUACUUUCGAUUUAACAUCCAACUCACAUCAUAUCAAAGCUUGACUCAUCUUGGUACAGGCGUAUAUUAUUUCUUCUUUUUCAUGAGAAACGAAGAAGAGGCUUAUGAAUAAAAAUAAUUUCCCCUACGCAUCAUUCUAUAGUUAGUAUGUAGUUUAAAACUCUCUCACUGUGUGUAUGUAUGUAGGGAAUAAAUUGAGUGAAAAAAAUAAAAACAAAUUGUGAUUCUUCCCCACUUCCGUCUUUGGAUAGUGUACUACAUAAAAAAAUAUUCUAUACCUGUGUUGAAGGAUUUACCUACCUCGCCUUUACCUUCUUUUCAGUAUUUAUUAGUAACGUUAUUACUUACACAA
rnacentral:lncRNA from 1 species